rnacentral:rRNA from 1 species
CAAAUUUUGAUCUGAAAUCAGGUAGGAUUACCCGCUGAACUUAAGCAUAUCAAUAAGCGGAGGAAAAGAAACUAACAAGGAUUCCCUCAGUAACGGCGAGUGAAGCGGGAAGAGCUCAAAUUUAAAAUCUGGUUUACUUGUAAGCCCGAGUUGUAGUCUGAAGAAACGUUUUCCAUAAGCACUGAGGCAAAAGUCCCUUGGAACAGGGCAUCAUAGAGGGUGAGAAUCCCGUCCAUGGUCUCAAGUUGUUUAUUUUGUGAUACGUUUUCAAAGAGUCAGGUUGUUUGGGAAUGCAGCCUAAAAUGGGUGGUAAAUUUCAUCUAAAGCUAAAUAUUGGCGAGAGACCGAUAGCGAACAAGUACCGUGAGGGAAAGAUGAAAAGAACUUUGAAAAGAGAGUUAAACAGUACGUGAAAUUGUUGAAAGGGAACCGUUUGAAGCCAGUCUUACUUGCUCGUGAUCAAUUUUUGCUUCGGCAUGAAUGCACUCUCGGGUAUGGUAGGCCAACGACAGUUUAGAAUGCGAGAAAAAAAUUUGGGAAAUGUGGCCUUCGGGUGUUAUAGUCCCUUAUAAAAUAUCGUGUUCUGGACUGAGGAUCGCAGCAAAAACGUGGGCAGGUGGAUUUCUGUGGUAACUGUCGGUUAGGACAACUUGUUGACCUAGUCUUCCUUAGCCUCACUAUUUACCUUGCUUCUAAUUUGCUUAGGUCGUUGGCAUAAUGGCUUUAAAUGACCCGUCUUGAAACACGGACCAAGGAGUCUAACAUAUAUGCGAGUAUUUGGGUGGCAAACCCAUAUGCGCAAUGAAAGUGAAAUUAGGUGCCAAACCUUCACGGGUGGCAGCAUCGGCCGGCUUUGACGUUUUAACUGACGAGUCUGAGCAGAAGCAUACAUGUUGGGACCCGAAAGAUGGUGAACUAUGCCUGAAUAGGGUGAAGCCAGAGGAAACUCUGGUGGAGGCUCGUAGCGAUUCUGACGUGCAAAUCGAUCGUCAAAUUUGGGUAUAGGGGCGAAAGACUAAUCGAACC